rnacentral:sRNA from 1 species
UUUUGUUUUUCUUUUGCAGUGGAAGAAGAAGCGUAUGAGGAGGCUUAAGAGGAAGAGACGAAAGAUGAGACAGCGUUCUA